CAGGAAAGGGGAGGAUUUACCAGCCCUGUGGGUGGGGGUGGAACCUGGGAUGUGCUGCUGUUACGGACCCUGGGCUCAGCAACCUACCCUCCACUUCCCUUCCCCCCACGCCUCCGCCCAACACACACGCACACACAGUCCAGCCUCCCACCGGACACCUAACCUCAGUCCCCCCUGCAGCGCCAGGAGGAAUAAGUCAGGAGAUUCCACUCUUGGGCCCAGAACAUUUUAUGCUGAAACUGUCUCAUACCUGUUCACAAGUGAUUUGAGCCCAUCUCCUCCAAAUGGACAUUAAAAUCAGCCAAGGUGCAAAUAUUUACAGCAUGAGAAUCAGCAAAUUCUAAAAAACAGGAAUCUUUAUUUCCAGAGAGCUAGUUACUAAACUUUUACCACGUACCACUGCAUCACCAGAUCCUUAAAAGCCGUUUGAAAAAAGAUUAACAAACUCACACCAAUGUAUA
rnacentral:lncRNA from 1 species